rnacentral:lncRNA from 1 species
GUGGCUUGCAUGACGGGAACAACCCUUGGAGGGUUGCUGAGAAUACUGGGCUGGUGGUGGCAGAGCUCUAGUCCAUAGCCUAGUUCCCCACAGUGUGCAGCCCCAGUAGUCUGUUUUUCAAGUGCCUUAGGGACAAAGCACAGGCAAGAGAGGGAACCCCACCUGGACCCUUUGGAAGGGUGGGGCCCUGUAUGUUCAUGCUGUAGGUAGGCUCUCUUGAGUGGUUGGUAGACAGUGAUUUGUGUGUUUAGGGACCUGGGCUUCCACCUGUGGGAUUCCUAGAGCCACAUGACAACUCCAGGUAUGGUUAGUCAAGGCAGACGAAGAUGGGAUCUGACUCUGCUCAGCAGUGUCACCAUGGCCAUGGAAAUUGAGCCCCAAACCCCUCACUAUGUGAGACGUUGUCUGGAGGGGCUCGCACCAGCGCCAGAGUGUCCAGAUAUUAGCUGGGUGUGAUGGCUUUUCAAUGAGAAAUGCUUUCCCACCCCCAGAGAGGCGCCUGAGAAAUGAACUGGAAAGCCAACAGGGAGGGUGAUCAAGCAGUACAGGGCUGACAAAAGAACAAUUUAGUCAGCAAAUCUUUGAGUACUUACUGUGUGCUAGGCAUUAUUCUCAAUAAUUGUGUCAGUGAACAAAACAGAAAAGCCUCUAUUUAAUUGAACUGGCAUUCAGCAAGGUUGGCAGGCAAGCAACAAACCUAAUGAAUAAUUAUAUAGUGUGUUUGAAGGUGAUCAGUUAUAGAGGAAAAUGGAGCCGGUUUGAGGGCAUAGGAGUGCCUGGAUGGAGUUUCAUAAAGGGGCGGUCAAGGUAGCAGCAAUUGAGGGGGUGACAUUUGAGCAAAGACCUGAAGAAAUGGAAGGAUUUGGUCAUGGGAACAUUUGAGGGAAGGGUCAGUGGCCAGGCAAAGUCCUGAGGCAGAAGUGUGCUGUGUUUGGGAUGGGUGCAGGGCUGUCGGGGGUAAAAGGAUCAUGGUGGCUCAUGUGCUGAGACACAUACUUGAGGAGUAGGGACAGGAGCCAGAAGAGCAGCUGGAGGCUGUUGCAGUGGUCUAGGCGAGAAGGGACAGUGACUCUGACUAGGGUGGUGGUGACAGGGUGAGAGGUGAUCAGGCCAUCAGGAUUGGGUGUGUGCUUUGAAUGAGCAGCCACCUUGAUAUGCUAAUGCACUGAUGUGGAGUGAGAGAGAAAAGCCCAGGAUAACUCCAUUUGGUUUUGGCUUGAAUAAGUAGAAAUAACGGAGUUAUCACCAGUGGAUGAGGGGAAGACUGAAGGUGCAGCACGGGAGGGAAGGACAAGAAUUACUUUUUGGACACAUGGUGCUAAGUCUUGAGCUGCCCGCUGGAUGUUCAGGUGGGGGCAUCAUGUAGGCAGCUGGAGACAGAUCUGGAGCUCCACAGAGGAGGGGCCUAGCUAGAGCAGUGAACCUGGAGUUGCUGACAUAUAGGUGAUCCACAUCCAUCUAUGUUUGCCUGCAGUCCCCUGGGGAUGAGUGUAGGUGAAAAGACCAGACUGCCCAACAGGGGUGGGCUGAGGAGGGGAGCAGGAGCAGCCAGUACAGUGGGAAGAAAACCCAGAGAGUGUGCUGGCUCCUGGAUGCACUGGAGAGGAGGGGCCGGUCAGCAGGGACAGGGCCUGCUGCUGAGCAGACAGCAGGAUGGCAGGGCCAGGGGGCUGCUUGUGACCUGGAGCUUGGGAGAGACUCAGCCUGAUGGUGGCUGGAGAGAACAGGGAGAGGAAUGGGAAUGGUUGUUGUGAGGAGUUUUUGCUGCAAAAGGAAGUAGAAAAAAUGGGAGGUAGCUAGCAGGGACAUCGGGUCAAGAGGGUGUUUAGGAUAGGAGGAUGAGCGGGAUGCUUGCUGAACCCAGCUGUGGAGAGUGAAAAUAAGGCAGAAGAGAAAUGAGGAGUCACCGGAGCUGUGGCCUUGGUAGGCAAGCAGGUGGGAUGGAGCUGCAGGCUGGGCAGGUUCCAGACAGGAGCACAGGCGGCGUGUCUGUAGCUGAUUGGGGGGUGCAGAUGCUGCCAGCAGACAAGUGUGCCACUGGGAAAUGAGGUUAGUCUGAGAGUGGAGGGGGCACAGAAGGGUGUCCUCCUUGGGAAAACAAGAGGUGUGAGGCAGUCCUCUAGGUCGGACCCUCCCAGGGCUGUGGUCGUUAGAGUAAAGGGAAAGGGUCACAUGGCUGGGUGUUUCUCCAGGCUUUCUGCAUGCUGAGCAGGCUGUAACCAGACGUCUGGUCUUGUCCAGGGAGAGUGUCAGAGGCGUGUGGGGCUGAAUGCAAGGGGCUGGCCAUCAUAAUUAGGGACACAGUGAAACAACAGCCACGUGGCAUCGUGAGUGGAGUUGAAGGUUUGUUGGAGCCAGGAUCUCAGUAAUGAGCUGUAGCAAGGGAUUAAAACAAAUCAUUCCCAGACCCUGUUACCACCCACUUCCUAUUUUUUUUUCUAAUUCUUUAAAUAAAAUUGGCAAUACUAAUUUGCACUUACUAAACUUGAAAAUUGUAGUGCAGUGUGCCACUGGUAAUUGUCAGAUGAUCCAAUAAGUUGCUAAGUAAAUGGCAUGAUCUGUAGCAC